rnacentral:rRNA from 1 species
GUGAGGAAUAUUGCGCAAUGGAGGCAACUCUGACGCAGCCAUGCCGCGUGCAGGAAGAAGGCGCUACGCGUUGUAAACUGCUUUUAACCGGGAAGAAACCCCAGGACGUGUCCUGGGUUGACGGUACCGGAGGAAUAAGCACCGGCUAACUUCGUGCCAGCAGCCGCGGUAAUACGAAGGGUGCAAGCGUUAUCCGGAUUCAUUGGGUUUAAAGGGUGCGUAGGCGGAGCGUUAAGUCAGUGGUGAAAUCCUGCAGCUUAACUGUAGACUUGCCAUUGAUACUGGCGCUCUUGAGUGCGCUUGAAGUGGGCGGAAUGUGCCGUGUAGCGGUGAAAUGCUUAGAUAUGGCACAGAACACUAAUUGCGAAGGCAGCUCACUAAGGCGAUACUGACGCUGAGGCACGAAAGCGUGGGGAUCGAACAGGAUUAGAAACCCUAGUAGUCC